AUUGAACGCUGGCGGCAUGCUUUACACAUGCAAGUCGAACGGUAACAGGUUAAGCUGACGAGUGGCGAACGGGUGAGUAAUGCAUCGGAACGUGCCCGAUCGUGGGGGAUAACGCAGCGAAAGCUGCGCUAAUACCGCAUACGAUCUGAGGAUGAAAGCGGGGGACCGUAAGGCCUCGCGCGAUCGGAGCGGCCGAUGUCAGAUUAGGUAGUUGGUGGGGUAAAGGCUCACCAAGCCAACGAUCUGUAGCUGGUCUGAGAGGACGACCAGCCACACUGGGACUGGGGCACGGCCCAGACUCCUACGGGAGGCAGCAGUGGGGAAUUUUGGACAAUGGGCGAAAGCCUGAUCCAGCAAUGCCGCGUGCAGGAAGAAGGCCUUCGGGUUGUAAACUGCUUUUGUACGGAGCGAAAAGGUCUCCUCUAAUACAGGGGGCUCAUGACGGUACCGUAAGAAUAAGCACCGGCUAACUACGUGCCAGCCGCCGCCGUAAUAC
rnacentral:rRNA from 1 species